UACAUAGGGUCCAAGCGUUAAUCGGAAUUAUUGGGCGUAAAGCGUGCGCAGGCGGCUUUGCAAGACAGAUGUGAAAUCUCCGGGCUUAACUUGGGAACUACAUUUGUGACUGCAAGGCUUGAGUACGGGAGAGGGGGAUGGAAUUCCGCGUGUAGCAGUGAAAUGCGUAGAUAUGCGGAGGAACACCAAUGGCGAAGGCAAUCCCCUGGGCCUGUACUGACGCUCAUGCACGAAAGCGUGGGGAGCAAACGGG
rnacentral:rRNA from 1 species